rnacentral:lncRNA from 1 species
AAAGGAGGGGGUGGUGAUGCCACAGCGGCGUCAGCAAUGGUUGCUCCCAGUGACGCGAAGGCGGAGGGUGCAGCCAUUGUGGCGCUCUGUUGGCCCUAGUGCUUAAGUAGGCUGAGUCUCGCUACUGCUCGCACAUGCGCGAGACACUCCGGCCCCCCAACCCGGCUGCCAGGGGACUGGAAAGGGCUUGGAAGAGAUGCGCUAAUCCAAACGUUUCAUUUUUAGGAGAGGGGGAAAAUGGAGGCCUGGACAGAAGGGAUUCAUUGCACUUGACUCCGGGAGCCAAUGGGAGAGCUAAGUCCAGAGCAUUGGUGAAAUUGGGAGGGAAAUGAUAAGGGUGCCGACAUCCCAGCUUGAAUCCCGCCUAGGAAUCAGAGUUCCUGUGUGGGAUGGCUCAAGUCUGGGAUAUGGGGACGGGGGAAGGGACAGCACUGGUUGAGGUCAUGGUCCAAAGCCAUUGGCCAAGGAAAGGAUCCCCAGGGAGGAGAUUCGGUUUGCAAAGCUCCUGGGGAAGAGGAAUUGGGGCUCUUUGCUUCCUGAUCUCUCUCUCAACUAACUCUGCCUGUUGACUAGUGCUCUGUCUGGGACCUGAACCCAACUCGGGUGGGAAAGACUGAAACCCCAAGUUUCACCUCUGAUCUUUCCUAAGGACAGCUUUUCAGUCCAGUCCCACUUUCUAAUCUGAUUUCAGACCCUUCCUAGCUGGGUGACCGUGGGCAAAUCACUUCACCUCCAUUGCCCGGCCCUGACCACUCUCCUGCCUGAGAACCAAUACUCAGCAUUGAAUGGAAGAUGCAAGACCCUUCCUAGCUGGGUGACCGUGGGCAAAUCACUUCACCUCCAUUGCCCGGCCCUGACCACUCUCCUGCCUGAGAACCAAUACUCAGCAUUGAAUGGAAGAUGCAAGCUUCCAAGAGCCGUUCCUGGUCUUUCCACUGGAGAAUGUCAUUGUGAGAGGCAAAGGGGAGUAGCUUGGCUCCCAUCUUCCAGAGAUCUUCUUCAUCUGCCUGCCUGCAGGGUCUUCAUGUCCUGCUCAGCAGACAGACAACAGGCUGAAACUGGGGAUCCUGCUUGCUGUCCUCCAUGCUGUCACUGGUGGAAUCCUGGUCCUUGA